UAAGUACUGUCAAUAUCCACCAUACUAGCUUUUGCUAUCCAAAAUUUGGUAUUUUAGAUUUUUUAGUGCUUAGCCUAUAUCACGUCUUCCUUAAAAGGAAGUUUUGACAUAACUGGUAAAGUUGUUGCCAUGUGAUCAAGAGGUCACAGGUUCCUGGUCACGGGUUCGAGCUAUGGAAACAACCUCUUGCAAAUAUGCAAGGUAAGGUCGCGUACAAUAGACCCUUGUGGUCCGGCCUUUUCCGGACCUCGCGCAUAGCGGGAGCUUAGUGCAUCGGGCUGCCCUUUAGCCUGUAACAAGUCUGAAUGGAUGAGGGUCGGGGUAGGCUGACAACCAACGUAUAUUAGUCAAUUUACGAUGAAUCCUUACAAUACAUUAUUUUUUGGCAUAACUGGUAAAGUUGUUGUCAUGUGACCAGGAGGUCACAGGUUCGAGCCGUGGAAAUAGCUUCUUGCAAAAAUAGAGGGUAACAACAGACCUGUGGUCAUGCCCUUUUCCGGACCCCGCGCAUAGUGGGAGCUUAGUGCAUCAAGCUGCCCUUUCGCCUGUACCAAGUCUAAAUGGAUGUGGGUCGGGGGUAGGCUGACAACCAGCGUAUGAUUAGUCAAUUUACGAUGAUUUCGGGUUCGAGUCGUGGAAACAGUUUCUUGCAAAAAUGCAGGAUAAGACCGUGUACAAUAGACCUUUGUGGUCCAGCCCUUUUCCAGACGCCCCGCAUAGCGGGAGCUUAGUGCAUUGGGCUGCCCUUUUACCUGUACCAAGUCUGAAUGGAUGAGGGACAGGGUUGGCUGACAACCAGCGUAUGAUUAGUCAAUUUAUGAUGAAUCCUCACAAGACAGUAUUUUUACUACUUACUUUUACAGGUAACGAUGAUAUUCAACGAGGUUUUAAGGUUGUACCCACCGGGAAUUACCAUAAGUCGAACUGUACACGAGGAUACCAAAUUAGGGA
rnacentral:lncRNA from 1 species